CCAGCCUUAAUAAAGCAUCUCAAGCCCCAAUGCGAAGCUGCCACGUGGAGCUUUCUCAUAGGGUGGUGAAAAACCAUGUGCCAACUCUCCCAAAUAAGGAGUUGUUUGUCACAGACCACAGCGGAGCCAGCGCCAUCUUGUAAUGGCGACCAUAGUCUGCAGAAACAGCAGAAGCGGCUCACCACAGUUCCCCCUUUCUGUUUUCUUAAAACAAUACAGGCGAGAGUAGAGGUCCUAUCCCACUGUGCAGAAGUGGCUGCAUAGUAUGGCUCAGUCCUAAGGAGGGCCCUUCCCCAGAUCUGAGGCCAUAUCAGCCGACGCCUUUUUUCGUGGGGCGGGGCGUGGACGCGUCUAACCCGC
rnacentral:lncRNA from 1 species